rnacentral:rRNA from 1 species
GAGUUUGAUCAUGGCUCAGAUUGAACGCUGGCGGCAUGCCUUACACAUGCAAGUCGAACGGCAGCACGGGAGCUUGCUCCUGGUGGCGAGUGGCGAACGGGUGAGUAAUGCAUCGGAACGUAUCCUGGAGUGGGGGAUAACGCAGCGAAAGUUACGCCAAUACCGCAUAUUCUGUGAGCAGGAAAGCGGGGGACCUUCGGGCCUCGCGCUCUUGGAGCGGCCGAUGUCGGAUUAGCUAGUUGGUGAGGUAAAGGCUCACCAAGGCGACGAUCCGUAGCAGGUCUGAGAGGAUGAUCUGCCACACUGGAACUGAGACACGGUCCAGACUCCUACGGGAGGCAGCAGUGGGGAAUUUUGGACAAUGGGGGCAACCCUGAUCCAGCCAUGCCGCGUGAGUGAAGAAGGCCU